CAAAGCUCCACACGUCACUCUCUGAACUGUAUCUCCCUGGAAGAGGAACAACAACCAUAACCACAUGAGGCACAGUAGACAAGCUAACCUAGCAGAAUGUGGUAGAAGUGAUGGUAUGAAGUUCUGGAGUGUAGGCCACAAGAGACCUUGCAGCUUCCAACUUUUGUCUUUCUGGAACAUUCCUGAUACCAUGUAAAGAAGCCCAGGAAGCCGAGGCAGGAGGAUCGAGCGCAGGAGUUCAAGA
rnacentral:lncRNA from 1 species